rfam:Picea glauca, whole genome shotgun sequence.
GUAAUGGUGUCUUUAGACACCACCUCUUAUUGGAAUGGAUUUAUUUU